GUGACUCCUGCGGUGUGCUCUGCCGGACUCCUGCGUCUUGUCUACGGCAGCAGGAGCGUGCGGUGUGCUCUGCCCACAACCCUCUCUCCUCCCCGCUACUCCCUUCCUCGUCAAUACAGCCGCCGCGCCACCACCCUCGUUCGGUCCUUCCUCCCCCUGCGGCCAGGAGGCGAGCCCUCACCGCGAGGAAGCCACGGAAGGAGGAGCUCAACCGGGCGUCGCCGGCCGGAGAAGGAGGAGAGGCGCGGAUGCCAGCCAGGGAGGCAGAUCGGCUCGCCUCCGUCGUCAAUACAGCCGCCGCGCCACCACCCUCGUCCGGUCCUCCUCCCGCCCCCACAGCCCCAAAAGCUCUGCCGCUUCUUUCGGCGAGAUCCAUCGUCUCCUGAGGGCCUUAUGAACCCUAGCUCGCGAGGAAGCCUCGGGAGGAGGCGGAUCGGCUCGCCUCCGCGGCUGGAAAGGGCUCGGUGGUAAAUUUGGCUUGUUCUCAUAUCUCAGCGAGUCAUGUAUUUUGUAUGGAUCUAUCAUGCUGGGAUUAGUUGUAGACUUCCUUGCUGAACCCUACAGGGAGCAACGCAUCCCUAGUUUGCUUCCAGAGGAGGCAGGGGAAGAGGGUUUUCUUGUUGCUGCUAUUCCUCGUGGAUAUUCAAGAGGCAACUUGGCACCUAAUGUCAGCAACGUGCUUAUCAGUGACGAGGGAAAUGAAAGAAGGCUGCAAUGGAAUUUGUACUAGUAUGCUCUCUGAAGAUCAGAUUUUGGCCAUAUAAUUUCCGGUGACUGGAAGUCUGAAACUGAAGAUAAGGCAGAUUGUUUUGAUUCCGAUUACUUGGAGAUCUUGUGGCUUGCUGUCCCUGGAUCAGUCAGACCUACGGCAGCAUCAACUCGUUGAUCCUAGAGGCCAUGGUUCUCGAGGUAAGAAAUAUAAGCAUACUAGAGAGAAUCCCUGUGCCAUAUGAACAAAUCUCUUUCUCAUCCAUGCAAUCUCUUCAUAUCUCAAAUCCCCGCCGGAGUGCCUUCACCUUGAUAUCGGCACAUACGACUUCAGGAUGGUUGUAAUAUUUCUUUUAGAGGAUCUGCACUUCGAGGAAAUUAGAGAAUGCUGAUUUAAAAACAAAGUAUAUGUAAGCUAUUAGGAAGCCUGAAAGAUUCAUAAAAAUAGUAAGCAUAUGAGUUCUGAUAAAUCAAACGGCACCUCUUAUCAAUCAUUGUAAUGGAUGUUCUGCAAGAUAAACAAUAUUUGACUGGCUCCCCUUAAUUAGUGGGACUUGAGAGUAAUGUAGAAUGUUUAUUUUAGCAGUCUUUAAGGUGCAAAAUAUGUGUUCUAUGAUACCAGUUUCUUGCUUUAUUUUGCUAACUGAUCACAACUACCAUUUCAGUGAACACAUUAUGAGCUGGAAAUUGUACAUUAGAAACUCUUGACAACACAUUGCAAGUUCCAUGUUGGGAUCCUUCGCUAUAUAUUCCAGACAGAAGAUUGAAUGGAAAAUUAAGAUGAACAUUUGUGUGUGUGUGAGAAUUUAUAUCUCUUUACUUAAUCUGAAAUCUAAAGUAGUAAUUCUCAGCCUGAGGGCUAUGAGGUGACGCUCGAAGUGACAGAAAAGGAAGAUAUUUGGGCAUAUGAACCCUGGAAAGAGUUUGAUGGUAGCAUAAAGAAAGCAGGUAGUCGGUACCAAAUGAAGAGAAAUAUUGGAAUCAUGUCAUUCCUACUUCAUAGCUAUACAGGAGCCAGUUUUCCGGUUGAUCCGAGAUAUAUUUGCUGCUAUACCAAGUGCAACUUUUCUUUAUAGGGGAAACGUUUUCCUACAUUUUUUUAAAACAGUAUGGUCCUUCUAUGGUAGCAAACUCUGGUCAAGUAUCUUUCAUUUCCUAUAUUGAGAAGUAGCUUUACUUUUUCUUGACAGUAUGGUUGUGUUAACUGCUAAAUGCUAAGGUUCCUUUGUUUGUUGGCAUAAAUUUCCCUGAUUCCUUCUGAUCUGGAAAAGCUUACUUUGGUAUUGUGUCAGUUCAGUUUUGCAUGCUUGCUCAUAGAUAAUGCAUCUCACCAGAACGACAAUGCUUAUAUAUAGCUGCAACAGUUAUGUUAUACUUCUGCACUACGCCUCAUGCGUGUGUUUAUUGCAUCAUUAUGGAGUCCACUUGGAUUGUCAUAUUAUUAAUUGUAAGGUGAAAUAGGUAUAAAAAUGGAUAUGAAGUAAUGCCAAGUUAAAAGUGAAUUUUGUUAGACUGAAAAUAUUUUUUUCAUGGUAUUGUGCUCCAGUGAUUUGAAAAUUCGCAAUGCACCGUUGUUGUAGUAUUAGCCUUACUUAAUUCUUCUAUGUGUUCUUGCACCUCCCGAUCACUGUUUUUUGGCCUAGGACCAUUUACAUGUCAAGCAUGAGAUUUAUGUGUCAAUUAAAUAUGUUCCAUUACUGUUCUUCUUUUUGCAAGAUUGAGUUGUUCCAUCCCAUCCAUUGUAUGGUUUGAAGAGAAUAAUUUUUAAUUUUGCUGCUCUUAUUCAAAAAAGUUUAUCACCAUCCACUGCUGUUUGUGUGCUUGAUUUAUGUCAUUUUGUCAAGUGGCAGUACACAUGCAUUAGCCACAUGAUAUCUACCUUCUAAAUAGCCACAUUGCUUUAUGGAAUGGAUGCAAAAUAGCUGAAUGGAACCCACAGGUGUAGUUUUUAUAGCGAGUUUUACAAGGUUUUACCUUUAUUCUAUGGGUCAUGGUUGAUAUAAUUUUGGUGUUCUGAGUGUAAUCUUUGUUUGUGCCUUUCUUUUACCAGACUAUGUUAUAGAAAGAGUCAAGAUACUUCAACAGUGGUAGCCCAAUGGGGUAGUUCCUAAGUAUGUUCUGUUUCUAAAAAAAAGGUCCUAAGUAUUGCUGGGAGAGAUGGCCAGACUGCUGGACCACCCUACAAGAAAUCAGUGGCAUGAAUGUGCUUCUACAGAAUUUGUGGCAUAUGCAAAAAUACGUACACAUGUCUUGCCUCACAAUGCCCUCUGGGUGAAACCACCACUAUAAUUUUGUCAUUUCAAGUUUGUCCUUCCAUUGUAGCAGACCAACAUGUCCUUGUUUCUUUAAUUGAUUUCUCAUUUUAUGUUUGCACUUCUACUACAACAGAACAACAUGUCAUAAACAUGGCGCUGAGCAUUGUUUGUCCAGCUCCCUUCAAGACAGAGAUGUAGAGAGUGGCUCCAUCACUGAAGAGAGGACAAACGUUGUGCAAGGCAUUUUUGUCCAGCUCCUUUCACAAAUGAAGGAAUUACCGUGCAUUGUGAAGGAUUGUGACGGACAAGGUGCAAUGAAUCCAGAGGAGUGGGAGGGGAGAGUUUACCAACAAUGUUUCAAGGACAAAGUGUGACCUGGAUUCCUAAGUUAUAGCCAGCGUAGCAAAAUUGUAUAAAAAGAAUGCCCGCAUUUUGAAAACUCUAUUACAUAA